GUCAUAGAAAAGCUAAGAUUAGAGAGAGCAGCAGAUAGCAAGAACAAAUAAACUAACAUUACAUUCAUGCGGUGCAAAUUACUAAGUUUGGGAAGGAAUUCGCGUUCAAAUUUUGUCACGGACACACCGUCACCAAAAUUUUGGGUUUCCGAGAAUGCCCUCCUUUCGCUAGCGUCUCGCACCGCUCAUUCUUCUCUCCGGGCUUAUUCCCCUUCUUCCCUCACCGCCGGCAUCCUCGCCCGCGUCGCCACCGCCCCUCCCCUUCCUUCCCUCCCUCUCUCUCUCCGCCGACAUCUUCAUCUUACUCCCCACCGCCGCCUUGCUCCCCUCAUGAAUCUGUCUUCCUCUCGCGCCCCGCCUGCAGCAGCGAGGUCAAAUGCAACUGCGCUGGAUCCGGGCGGCGCUGGACCAUCUGGUGCCGCUCUUACCCAUCCGCGCGACGCCCGCGACCAGCACGUCCCACUCGUCUCUUUCCUCGACCGACGGCGCGAGGUUCUCGCUGCUCAGGGCUCCCCGGCCUCUGCCGUCCUUAUGCACUUGUUCGGCUCCUCCGUCAACGUCAGGACAUGCCGACAUGGUGUGUUCUGCCAUCGCCGGCUCCUAAAGCUACAUCGCCUAGGUGAGAGGAUAGAUGAAGUUUGGGCAGCAGGAGGUUAUAUUGUUGGUUCAGAUGACUAGAUUGAACAAAUAAAAGGAGUAUUCAUGGAGUUGACAAACUGAUUACAUCACCUGAUAUGAUGCCUAAGGAACACGGCGGGCAGGGACGUGCUCGGUGAGCAGGAGCAGGGCGGCCGGCGAAGCCCUCGGCGAGUGGGAGCAGGGCGGCCGGCGAAGCCUCUCAGCGAGCAGGAGCACGGCGGCCCGGCGAAGCCCUCGACGAGCAGGAGCACGGCGGCCGGCGAAGCCCUCGGCGAGCAGGCGGCCGGCGAAACUCUCUUGGCGAGCAGGAGUACGGUGGCUGGCGAAGGCUCUCGGCGAGAGAGGCCACGGAGACCGGCCAAAGCUCUCGGCGAGCAGGACCACGGAGGCUGGCGACGCGCAAGAACAGGUGCCUGGCGGUAGGCCGCUCGGCGCGGAGCAGCCGCGCAAGAACAGGCGCCUGGGUAGGCCGCUCGGCGAUCAGCAGCACGGAGGCUGGCGACGCGCAAGAACAGGUGCCUGGCGUAGGUCGCUCAGCGCGGAGCAGCCGCGCAAGAACAGGUGGCUGGGGUAGGCCGCUCGGCGCGCAGCAGCACGGAGGCUGGCGACGCGCUUGGAGAGUAGGAGCCUGGAGGUGGUCUCGCUGGCCUUCUCCCCCGGUUGCCGGCGAGGAGGAGAAUUGGCGAGGUGCUGGUCGAGCGCAGCUGGAGGAGGAGGAGCUGGGCGAGGCGGCGCACGGGGGCAGGGGGAGGUGCUGCGCGACGUGCUGGGGUGGGAGCUGGGUGGCGGCGCGGUGCUGGGGAAGAAGAGCUACGCGCGCGGCGGGGAAUAAGGGAGCCAAGAAAGAAAGAUUCCGAUGUGUUUGUGAAAUUUUCGAUCUGGGGUAGAAGACGACCAGAUUUAUUUGUGAAUUUUCGAUCGGGGGUAGAAGAACUCUGAAUUUUCAGCCUAAACGAUCUGUGAAAACGCACCUGGACCAGUGAUCUCCA